rnacentral:rRNA from 1 species
ACGCUCGACACCUACGGGAGCAGCAGUUGGGAAUAUUGGACAAUGGAGGAAACUCUGAUCCAGUGACGCCGCGUGAAGGAAGAAGGUCUUCGGAUUGUAAACUUAUUUUGUCAGGGAAGAAAAAUGACUGUACCUGAAGAAAAAGCACCGGCUAACUACGUGCCAGCAGCCGCGGUAAUCUGAGCGGGCUGGCAAGGC